rnacentral:rRNA from 1 species
AUGAACGCUAGCGGCAGGCUUAACACAUGCAAGUCGAGGGGCAGCAUAAUGGAUAGCAAUAUCUAUGGUGGCGACCGGCGCACGGGUGCGUAACGCGUAUGCAACCUACCUUUAACAGGGGGAUAACACUGAGAAAUUGGUACUAAUACCCCAUAAUAUCAUAGAAGGCAUCUUUUAUGGUUGAAAAUUCCGAUGGUUAGAGAUGGGCAUGCGUUGUAUUAGCUAGUUGGUGGGGUAACGGCUCACCAAGGCGACGAUACAUAGGGGGACUGAGAGGUUAACCCCCCACACUGGUACUGAGACACGGACCAGACUCCUACGGGAGGCAGCAGUGAGGAAUAUUGGUCAAUGGACGCAAGUCUGAACCAGCCAUGCCGCGUGCAGGAUGACGGCUCUAUGAGUUGUAAACUGCUUUUGUACGAGGGUAAACGCAGAUACGUGUAUCUGUCUGAAAGUAUCGUACGAAUAAGGAUCGGCUAACUCCGUGCCAGCAGCCGCGGUAAUACGGAGGAUUCAAGCGUUAUCCGGAUUUAUUGGGUUUAAAGGGUGCGUAGGCGGUUUGAUAAGUUAGAGGUGAAAUUUCGGGGCUCAACCCUGAACGUGCCUCUAAUACUGUUGAGCUAGAGAGUAGUUGCGGUAGGCGGAAUGUAUGGUGUAGCGGUGAAAUGCUUAGAGAUCAUACAGAACACCGAUUGCGAAGGCAGCUUACCAAACUAUAUCUGACGUUGAGGCACGAAAGCGUGGGGAGCAAACAGGAUUAGAUACCCUGGUAGUCCACGCAGUAAACGAUGAUAACUCGUUGUCGGCGAUACACAGUCGGUGACUAAGCGAAAGCGAUAAGUUAUCCACCUGGGGAGUACGUUCGCAAGAAUGAAACUCAAAGGAAUUGACGGGGGCCCGCACAAGCGGAGGAACAUGUGGUUUAAUUCGAAGCAACGCGAAGAACCUUACCAAGUCUUGACAUCCCUCUGACCGGAACUUAAUCGUUCCUUUCCUUCGGGACAGAGGAGACAGGUGGUGCAUGGUUGUCGUCAGCUCGUGUCGUGAGAUGUUGGGUUAAGUCCCGCAACGAGCGCAACCCCUACCGUUAGUUGCCAUCAGGUGAAGCUGGGCACUCUGGCGGGACUGCCGGUGUAAGCCGAGAGGAAGGUGGGGAUGACGUCAAAUCAGCACGGCCCUUACGUCCGGGGCUACACACGUGUUACAAUGGUAGGUACAGAGGGCAGCUACCCAGCGAUGGGAUGCGAAUCUCGAAAGCCUAUCUCAGUUCGGAUUGGAGGCUGAAACCCGCCUCCAUGAAGUUGGAUUCGCUAGUAAUCGCGCAUCAGCCAUGGCGCGGUGAAUACGUUCCCGGGCCUUGUACACACCGCCCGUCAAGCCAUGGGAGCCGGGGGUGCCUGAAGUUCGUGACCGCAAGGAGCGACCUAGGGCAAAACUGGUGACUGGGGCU